GCUCCACCGAGCAGCGAAACGGGGCUGAAAUCGCCUGGCAGCCGCGGGGAAGGGGUAUUCGGGCUCCCGGGAAGCCGUGCUCCAGCCCCGGGAAAGCCGCGCUCCUGCCCCCGGGAAGGCGUGUUCCAGCCCCCGGGAAAGCGGCACCACCCUCGCCCGGAGCGCCGCCGCCGCCGCGGGAGGGGAGGCUCCGUAUCUCCGUAAAUCCAGCCUUCCACUCAACCUCCCCGUGAAAAGAAAUAAAUAAUCAACACAACCGCCUGAAUUAAAGCCGCCGCAGCCGAGCUGUGCUGCUCCAUCCCUCGCCCCACGCACAAAGGCGAGUCUCGCCCUGCCUCAGCUCCCCGCACCGCAGGAACUGCCGGGCUCUGCCGUCUUUCAUUCGCCCUGCGCAUCUCCCAGCUUAAAUGUAGAGCUUAUUUAAUUUAAAAACUUUAAAUUCGGGUCAGGUUUUCGCCCCCACUGACAUUAAGAGGGGCAGGGAUGCCCUGAGCAGCUUCUAAGCCCUUCACGGGUAAGCUACCGAGCCCUGGGGCCACGGCCAGCAAGGUCCACUCCGGACUUUAUCCGUGUGAUCCCUUCCAAUUCGGGAUAUUCUGUGAUUCCACUGUUUGGUUUGUCUCCCUCACACCGCCGCAUGAAAUAGAGUAGCUGUGUGUCACAAUCACAAGUAUUUCUCCUCGUUUAUUAGGAAUUUCCCCCAGCGCAGUCUCUCCAAAAACGCCCUCAUGCGGGUACACCGGAGCUCGCAUCACCCGGUGCCUGACAGGAACAGGCGCCCGUGUGUCCCCGCUGUUCCAGCUCCGGCACGGCCGAGGAAGAGAGCCANNNNNNNNNNNNNNNNNNNNUGGGCUCUGCCCUCACGGCCUCUUCCCGUUCAUGGGUUCCCGUCCCGGGCUGGGCUCUGCCCUCACGGCCCCUUCCCGCCCCUUCCCGCCCGCGCGUUCCCGCCCAGGCACCGCCCGCCCUCACGCCCUAAAAUGGCCGUCGGCCUCUGAGGGGUUCGGUCAGAAAUUAAGGGUUCCCGUCUCUCCAGGCUGGCUGACUCGCCUGUGGCAAGGCUCACAACCUGCAAGCCACUCACUUUGCCCAAAUCCCAUCAUUACUGGGGAUUUUCAGAGCAGAUUUACAAACCAUCGUUUCUGGUGUUUAUGGGGUAUUUCUAAACCAUCAUUUCUGGUGUUUAUGAGGUAUUUAUUAGCCACAAUGAAACGCUGGUUAGGAAUGAGUAGCUAAUUCUGCGCUAGCCAGUUUUUGCUCGGUUAUCCCAUUUUCAGAUAUUUCCCAAGCUUUCCAAUGGUUCUUUCUAAGAGGUGUUUUAUUUAAACCUCCAGAUCUAAAGCCUGGAGCUGGGAUUGAUUUCCUAUAAUAGGCUCUGACAAGGGAAGAACUCCGAGAGCUCUCGCACAGCAUGGUGUCAGGUGCUAAGUGGGAAGCAGACCCGUGACACUUCCAUGUGCCCACCACAGAUCAAAACCUUCCAAAAAUAAAUCUGUUGCUGCUCAUUGCUUAUUUUACCCC
rnacentral:lncRNA from 1 species